rnacentral:lncRNA from 13 species
GAAUACCAACUCUUUAGUACUAUGUCAACUUCCCCAAAGACACAAAUCCUGGAGGUGCUUAUUAAAACCACAGACUCGUAGGCCCUCCCUAAAGACCUUCUAAAUCACCAUUUCCAGGGAAGAGCUCUGAAACUUGAGAAUUUUUAGGCACUUCAGGUGAUUCUUAACAGAGAAGCAGGAUAAUGAUACAUUCUUUCAGUGAAGAGGCUCAGGCUCCUUUUCCAAUCACAGCAGCUGCUGGGGGUAGGAGGCUACCUUUCUUGCUCCUGCUGUCUACAGCCAGGCAAAAAGCCUCCACUUCUCCCUGCUGCUAUUGGUCACGUGGACCAGGAAAUGCUUGGAGGGGCUGGGAACGAGCUGUUGAUUGAGAGUGAGAGAGCCAAUGAGAAACCAGAGUAGUCGCUCACCCAGAGAGCUUUUUUUGGUGGGGGAUGGGGUUGGACUUAGCCUUCACUGUCUAUAAUACGGCAAAGGGUAGUGCAAGGUGCUUGCACUCAGCAGAGCCUGUGGCUGGUGGAAGGGAGCGCUGUCUUGUGGCAUCUCCUAUUGUCACUCUUGGCCUACGGAAGACAGCUGAUGCUGAGUUUGAAUGAUUCACUCUCCUCAAAUGCAUUUCUUUACUGCCUCAGUGAAGGAUGUGUCCUCUGAGCCCACCCAGAAAAACUGGCUGGUAGAAAAGAAAGCAGAGUUGGGCAUGGAGGAGAUGCCAUACAGAGAACCAUCUCAGUCUGGUGACCCCCACCCAGGUGAUGCUGAAGGUAUUGAGAGGCAGACACCCAGAUAGAACAAUAGAGUGGACCUAUCUGGGGGACCAACAUCCUAAGAGCUGAGAGGCUGACAGCGUUCCGGGCUGAAGGCCCCAAGCAGAUUCUCAUCCAUGUAUGUAUUUGCUCUUAAACAGGUGAGUCUUAUUAAUACACAGGUGCUCUACAUUUACUCAUAAGUCAAGAAUAUGCUAAGUAGGCAGCUGUUACCUGACUACCAUUGAUUACAAAUGAAAAGAUGUCCUCACAGAGGAGCCAUGGGGGCAGGGUAAACUAAAUGUUUCUCAACAUUCCCAUACUGCCCUCUGCUCCCCUCCCAGUGCCUUCCAUGAAUGGACUCCAAACAGAAGCCUGAAGGCAAGGGGGUCCAUGGGAUCAACCUCUUGGGGCAGAGGACAGGGGGCAAAAGACAGGUGGAGAAUGGAUCCCAGGAAAGGGUGUGGGGCACUUGAAGAACAAAUGGCUCAGAACACCACCAAUACAGAUACAGACAUCCAACAGCAUCUUUCCUCUGAUGGUAACAGGCAAUAUAGUUUAAAUAGCAAUUCACUGUAGGAAUUCACAUUCAACUUUUAAAUAUUUUAUUGCUGCAUAACAGUUACCCCAAAAUGUAAUGGCUGAAACAAACCAGUGUUUAUUUCACCCACUUUCUAAGGGUCAGGAGCCCAGGAGUGGCUUGGCUAAGUGUUUUCUGGUCCAGGAUAUCUCGUAAGAUUGCAGUGAAGAUCUUAGCAGGAGCUGCAGGUACUUGAAGCUGUGACUGGGGCUGGAGGAGCCUUGUCCAGAAUGGUUCACAUACAUGGCUAUUGGCUGGAGGCCUUCCUUCCUAACUGGCUGUUGGCAGGAGUCAUGAUCAUGUGGGCAUCUCCGGAAAACUGCUCACACAUGGCCACUGGCUUCUCCCAGAGGGAGCAAAGAGAAAGCCACGUGGUCUUCCCUUGACUACCCUCAGAAGCCUAACACCAUCACUUCUGCCACAUUUGAUUUGCUAGAGUUCCUAACUUCAGCCACAUUUAGGGG